GAAAUCAUGGCUCAGGAUGAACGCUAGCGACAGGCCUAACACAUGCAAGUCGAGGGGCAACAUGGUAUCAGCUUGCUGAUACCGAUGGCGACCGGCGCACGGGUGAGUAACGCGUAUGUAAUCUACCUGUAACAGAGGGAUAACCCGGAGAAAUCCGGACUAAUACCUCAUAGCACAUAUUAUUCGCAUGAAUUUUAUGUUAAAGAGACUCGGUUACAGAUGAACAUGCG
rnacentral:rRNA from 1 species